UACGGAGGAGGCAAGCGUUAUCCGGAAUUAUUGGGCGUAAAGCGUCCGCAGGUGGCUAUUCAAGUCUGCGGUCAAGGACUGGGGCUUAACCCUGGAAAGGCCGUGGAAACUGAAGAGCUAGAGUGCAGUAGGGGUAGAGGGAAUUCCCGGUGUAGCGGUGAAAUGCGUAGAGCUCGGGAAGAACAUCGGUGGCGAAAGCGCUCUGCUGGACUGCAACUGACACUCAGGGACGAAAGCUAGGGGAGCGAAUGGG
rnacentral:rRNA from 1 species